rnacentral:rRNA from 1 species
GACGAACGCUGGCGGCGUGCCUAAUACAUGCAAGUCGAACGCAGUGGGGACGGGUUAGUAACACGUGGGUAACCUCCCAUCAGAGGGGAUAACCCUUGGCUACAGGUGCUAAACCGAUAUUGAUUGAUGUACCCGCGGUGCAUUAGCCAGUUGGUGGGGUAAAGGCUCACCAAGGCCACGAUGCAUAGCUGGCCUGAGAGGGUGAUCGGCCACACUGGGACUGAGACACGGCCCAGACUCCUACGGGAGGCAGCAGUGGGGAAUAUUGCACAAUGGGCGCAAGCCUGAUGCAGCCAUGCCGCGUGUAUGAAGAAGGCCUUAGGGUUGUAAAGUACUUUCAGCGGGGAGGCGUUACCCGCAGAAGAAGCACCGGCUAACUCCGUGCCAGCAGCCGCGGUAAUAC